rnacentral:rRNA from 1 species
CGGGACGGGUGAGUAACGCGUGGAAAACCUGCCGUAUACUGGGGGAUAACACGUUAGAAAUAGGUGCUAAUACCGCAUAAGCGCACAGCUUCGCAUGAAGCGGUGUGAAAAACUCUGGUGGUAUACGAUGGUUCCGCGUCUGAUUAGCUAGUUGGUGGGGUAAUGGCCUACCAAGGCAACGAUCAGUAGCCGGCCUGAGAGGGUGAACGGCCACAUUGGGACUGAGACACGGCCCAAACUCCUACGGAAGGCAGCAG